rnacentral:tRNA from 1 species
GGCUAUAGCUCAGUGGCAGAGCAUCUCCUUUGCGUGCAGAAGGUCCCAGUUUCAACCCCUGGCAUCUCCA